CGAUCCUCCCACCCUUUGUGUACCUACCUCUGUUGCUUUGGCGGGCCGCGGUCCUCCGCGGCCGCCCCCCUCCCCGGGGGGGUGGCCAGCGCCCGCCAGAGGACCAUCAAACUCCAGUCAGUAAACGAUGCAGUCUGAAAAACAUUUAAUAAACUAAAACUUUCAACAACGGAUCUCUUGGUUCUGGCAUCGAUGAAGAACGCAGCGAAAUGCGAUAAGUAAUGUGAAUUGCAGAAUUCAGUGAAUCAUCGAAUCUUUGAACGCACAUUGCGCCCUUUGGUAUUCCGAAGGGCAUGCCUGUUCGAGCGUCAUUACAACCCUCAAGCUCUGCUUGGUAUUGGGCACCGUCCUUUGCGGGCGCGCCUCAAAGACCUCGGCGGUGGCGUCUUGCCUCAAGCGUAGUAGAACAUACAUCUCGCUUCGGAGCGCAGGGCGUCGCCCGCCGGACGAACCUUCUGAACUUUUCUCAAGGUUGACCUCGGAUCAGGUAGGGAUACCCGCUGAACUUAAGCAUAUCAAUAAGCGGAGGAA
rnacentral:rRNA from 1 species